rnacentral:rRNA from 1 species
UACGAAGCGGGCGAGCGUUGCUCGGAAUCACUGGGCGUAAAGGGUGCGUAGGCGGGUCUUUAAGUCAGGGGUGAAAUCCUGGAGCUCAACUCCAGAACUGCCUUUGAUACUGAGGAUCUUGAGUUCGGGAGAGGUGAGUGGAACUGCGAGUGUAGAGGUGAAAUUCGUAGAUAUUCGCAAGAACACCAGUGGCGAAGGCGGCUCACUGGCCCGAUACUGACGCUGAGGCACGAAAGCGUGGGGAGCAAACAGG